UAGCUCAGUGGUUCCGCCACCUGCCUCAAAAGCGCAAGGUCCCAAGUUCAGUCCCUGGUACCAGAAAGAAAAAGAACUCACAGAGAGGCUGCAGUGGUUCUGAGGGGCAGGUUGGGUCUCCCUGCUCUCCAGCCAAUAACGCAGAGACACAUUUUGAAUCUGCCAGGCAUUGAGUCUGUGUGAUUCCAGGAGCUGCAGGAUAUCACCACGCUGAAGCAGGAACAGACCCAGGGCAGCCCACUUACCUGAAGAGGCACUCUGUCCUUCAACUUUCAAGCUUCCUGCCCUCAAAGAUAUACAAGAUGAUUUUUCCAGAUCAUUAUUUGUUCAAUAUUGGUUUGGG
ensembl:lncRNA